rnacentral:siRNA from 1 species
AAGAACGGCGAGUGUGGACUAUC